AGCUUCCACGUCUUGUUUUUCUCUAGAGAUUGCAUUUCCUCUUCCAUUGCACCUAACCAUCUAUUAUUCUCUAAACUCUGAAUGGCUUUGGUGUAAGUGGAUGGAAUAUUAUCAACAACUGGAAGUGCAUAAGCUACCAUGUCAGUGAAACGAGCAGGUUUCUGAAUUUCUCGUCUCUGCCUUUUGACUGCAAUUGGCUCUGAUUGCUGUUGAGGUUCUUGGGUAGAAACCUCUUCCUCAUCUGACUCUGCAUCUGCCAAUGAAGAAUCACUAGUGGUACC
rnacentral:lncRNA from 1 species